CCUACGGGCGGCAGCAGUGAGGAAUAUUGGUCAAUGGGCGGGAGCCUGAACCAGCCAAGCCGCGUGAGGGAAGAAGGUACAGCGUAUCGUAAACCUCUUUUGUCAGGGAACAAAGGCGGGGACUAGUCCCCGGAUGAGGGUACCUGAAGAAAAAGCAUCGGAUAACUCCGUGCCAGCAGCCGCGGUAAUACGGAGGAUGCGAGCGUUAUCCGGAUUUAUUGGGGUUAAAGGGUGCGCAGGCGGCCUGUUAAGUCAGCGGGAAAAGCCCGGGGCUCAACCCCGGCGAGCCGUUGAAACUGGCGGGCUGGAGUUGGAGAGAAGUACGCGGAAUGCGCGGUGUAGCGGUGAAAUGCUUAGAUAUCGCGCAGAACCCCGAUUGCGAAGGCAGCGUACCGGCUCCACACUGACGCUGAGGCACGAAAGCGUGGGUAUCGAACAGGAUUAGAUACCCGAGUAGUC
rnacentral:rRNA from 1 species